AUGCAGGCAACGGGUUCUCCCAAACAUGGAGUCCUGUAGCCCAGGUCUUACUUGAAUCAGGAUGAGGGAGUGGUGGGUCCAGGUGGGGCUGUUGGCCGUGCCCCUGCUUGCUGUGUACCUGCACAUCCCACCCCCUCAGCUCUCCCCUGCCCUUCACUCAUGGAAGUCUUCAGGCAAGUUUUUCACUUACAAGGGACUGCGUAUCUUCUACCAAGACUCUGUGGGUGUGGUUGGAAGUCCAGAGAUAGUUGUGCUUUUACACGGUUUUUCAGCAUCCAGCUACGAUUGGUACAAGAUUUGGGAAGGUCUGACCUUGAGGUUUCAUCGGGUGAUUGCCCUUGAUUUCUUAGGCUUUGGCUUCAGUGACAAACCGAGACCAUAUCACUAUUCCAUGUUUGAGCAGGCCAGCAUCGUGGAAGCACUUUUGCGGCAUCUGGGGCUCCAGAACCGCAGGAUCAACCUUCUUUCUCAUGAGUAUGGAGAUACGGUUGCUCAGGAGCUUCUCUACAGGUACAAGCAGAAUCGAUCUGGUGGGCUUACCAUAAAGAGUCUCUGUCUGUCAAUGGAGGUAUCUUUCCUGAGACUCACCGUCCACUCCUUCUCCAAAAGCUACUCAAAGACGGAGGUGUGCUGUCACCCAUCCUCACACGACUGAUGAACUUCUUCGUGUUCUCUCGAGGUCUCACCCCAGUCUUUGGGCCCUAUACUCGGCCCUCUGAGAGUGAGCUGUGGGACAUGUGGGCAGGGAUCCGCAACAAUGAUGGGAACUUAGUCAUUGACAGUCUCUUACAGUACAUCAAUCAGCGGAAGAAGUUCAGAAGGCGCUGGGUGGGAGCUCUUGCCUCUGUAACUAUCCCCAUUCAUUUUAUCUAUGGGCCAUUGGAUCCUGUAAAUCCCUAUCCAGAGUUUUUGGAGCUGUACAGGAAAAUGCUGCCGCGGUCCACAGUGUCGAUUCUGAAUGACCGCAUUAGCCACUAUCCACAGCUAGAGGAUCCCAUGGGCUUCUUGAAUGCAUAUAUGGGCUUCAUCAACUCCUUCUGAGCUGGAAAGAGUAGCUUCCCUGUAUUACCUCCCCUAUUCCCUUAUCUGUUGUGUAUUCCACUUAGGAAGAAAUGCCCAAGAGAGGUCCUGGCCAUCAAACAUUAUUCUCUCACAAAGUCCACUACUCAAAUUGGUGAACAGUGUAUAGGAAGAAGCCAGCAGGAGCUCUGACUAAGGUUGACAUAAUAGUCCACCUCCCAUUACUUUGACAUCUGAUCAAAUGUAUCUUGGCUUUGUUUUUGUGUUAUUAGGAAAUUCUGAUGAGCAUUACUAUUCACUGAUGAAGAAAGACGUUCUUUUGCAUAAAAUACUUUUUAACACUUUGGAUUUAUCUGAAAUAUUUAGAAGUACUCAUUUCUGGCCCAGCCCCAACAGGAAUUCUAUAGUAAGGAGGAGGCGAAGGGGGCCUCCUUCCCUCUCCUUGAAUGACUUUAUGGGCACAUGCCUUUUAAAAGUUCUCUAAGCAACA